GAUGAACGCUAGCUACAGGCUUAACACAUGCAAGUCGAGGGGAAACGGGAGAAUAGCUUGCUAUUCUUUGUCGUCGACCGGCGCACGGGUGAGUAACGCGUAUCCAACCUUCCCAUAACUAAGGAAUACCCCGUAGAAAUGCGGCCUAAUCCCUUAUGGUCUCUUAUGCCUGUCAUGGGAAUAAGAGUAAAGAUUUAUCGGUUAUGGAUGGGGAUGCGUCUGAUUAGCUUGCUGGCGGGGUAACGGCCCACCAGGGCAUCGAUCAGUAGGGGUUCUGAGAGGAAGGUCCCCCACAUUGGAACUGAGACACGGUCCAAACUCCUACGGGAGGCAGCAGUGAGGAAUAUUGGUCAAUGGGCGUAAGCCUGAACCAGCCAAGUAGCGUGCAGGAUGACGGCCCUAUGGGUUGUAAACUGCUUUUUAAGGGAAUAAAGAGGGGCACGCGUGCCCUGUUGCAUG
rnacentral:rRNA from 1 species